UACAGAGGGUGCAAGCGUUAAUCGGAUUCAUUGGGCGUAAAGGGUGCGUAGGCGGCGCGGUAAGUCGGGUGUGAAAUCUCGGAGCUUAACUCCGAAACUGCAUUCGAUACUGCCGUGCUUGAGGACUGGAGAGGAGACUGGAAUUUACGGUGUAGCGGUGAAAUGCGUAGAUAUCGUAAGGAAGACCAGUGGCGAAGGCGGGUCUCUGGACAGUUCCUGACGCUGAGGCACGAAGGUCAGGGGAGCAAACGGG
rnacentral:rRNA from 1 species